CUCAGAGUGAACGCUGGCGGCGUGCCUAACACAUGCAAGUCGAACGAGAACGGGGUAUAGCUUGCUAUACUUGUCAGCUAAGUGGCGCACGGGUGAGUAAUGUAUAGAUAACCUGCCCUCAAGAAAGGAAUAACAGUUGGAAACGACUGCUAAUGCCCUAUAUGCCCAUAAUACAUAAGUAUGCUGGGGAAACGCUUUUGUGCUUGAGGAUGGGUCUGUAUUGUAUCAGUUAGUUGGUGAGGUAAUGGCUCACCAAGACUAUGACGCAUAACUGGUUUGAGAGGAUGAUCAGUCACACUGGAACUGAGACACGGUCCAGACUCCUACGGGAGGCAGCAGUGGGGAAUAUUGCACAAUGGACGAAAGUCUGAUGCAGCAACGCCGCGUGGAGGAUGACACAUUUCGGUGCGUAAACUCCUUUUAUAUAGGAAGAUAAUGACGGUACUAUAUGAAUAAGCGCCGGCUAACUCCGUGCCAGCAGCCGCGGUAAUACGGAGGGCGCAAGCGUUACUCGGAAUCACUGGGCGUAAAGAGCGUGUAGGCGGAUAGAUACGUCAGGAGUGAAAUCCUAUG
rnacentral:rRNA from 1 species